rnacentral:rRNA from 1 species
CACGUAGGGCGCGAGCGUUGUCCGGAAUUAUUGGGCGUAAAGAGCUCGUAGGCGGCCUGUUGCGUCCGCUGUGAAAGCCCGGGGCUUAACCCCGGGUCGGCAGUGGAUACGGGCAGGCUAGAGGUAGGUAGGGGAGAAUGGAAUUCCCGGUGUAGCGGUGAAAUGCGCAGAUAUCGGGAGGAAUACCUAUGGCGAAAGCAGGCUUCUGGGCUAUCACUGACGCUGAUCUGCGAAAGCUAGGGGAGCAAACAGG